GGAUUAGCUUAUCCACUAAACCUUUUAAACUCUCAAACUCUUGCGUUUUUUUUCUGUUUGGAUGUGAAUGAGUUAAUAAUUAAUGGCUGCAUAGCUAUGCAUCUAUCUCUAGAUGCAUAUGAGCUAAGACACACUACAUUAUACAUACCCAUUAUUCUCUCUCCUCUAACCUUUUCCCAUUUUUUCUCUCAUCAAACCCCAUUUUAUUUUUCUCUCACCAUUUUCUCUUUCAUCAAAACCUCCACAUUCUCUCUCAUCAAACUACUAUUUUCUCUCAUCAAAUUACAUAUUUAUCUCUCUUUACACCUCAAAUUUGACUCCGAUGGAUUCCACAGUGACGGUUACUCAUGCGAUUCCGACGAAUUUCUAGUCGGGUUCGUCGAAUCUAUGGUCAGAUCUAUCGAAUUUUUGGUCGGAUAUGUCAAAUUUUAGUCAGAUCUGUCAAUUUUCUGGUCGAAUAUGUCGAAUUUCUGAUCGAUUCCGGCGAAUUUUUGAUCAGAUCCGUCGCAUAUCUCUCUCCUCUCUUUACACCAAUCCAUGUUUGUAUGAAAUUCGAAGGAAAAGGUUAAUAUGAAUGCGCCAACAAAAGAAAAAAAGCCGAUUCAGAAAUGAAAGAUGUGGUGUUAAGAUAGGCUGCAAGAAUUGAACGCAAAAACAACAAGAAAAGAAUCUGCAAAUAAGGAAGCAGAUUGAAAGAGAAAAACGACCGGUCUAGCGAAAAAGUGGAAGCCGGAAGGAAAGAAGCAGAAAAUUUAGAAGCAUAUAGAAAUAGAACUAAAAUAGAAGAAGCAUAUAGAAAAAUAGAUGAUAUGUUCAAUUUUUUGAACAUGAAUGUUCAUUAAGUUACUUUAAAUGUCCA